GCAGUGGUUCUAAGACUCUGCAGUGCACUCUAGCUAACACAUUUACUGUGUAUUUCAUUUCUUUGUCAGUAAGAAUGAAAACCAAAGGUAAUCAUUAGUGUUAUAAUGUGUGAAGUUACAGGUUUUUGAAGAUUAAAGCAAGAGCAACAGAGGACCAUUAAGAAAACAUAUUUUUUAUUAGCCUUCUUUAGUCCCUCUUUGGAAGCCAAAAUUAUUUUCCCUAGAUGAAUCUUUCUCCGGUUUGAUAUGCAGUGUGUUGUACUGGGUUUCUAACACAGCUGGCAUGAAUACAACUUUAAUUCAUAUUCUGCAGUCUCAGAGCCACUGUCAGCCUCAUCUUGGAUGUCAGCAGGAAGAUAUUUAUUUCAGGAAAUCAUUUAAUAGCUCACAGUGCUCCAGAGAGACCAAAAUUUGUUUCUAGCGGUGCUGCCCCCAGAGGCUGCCUCAGCUGUUGAUGUAUCAAAUCAGGAUGCCCAUGUACAUACAACACAGUUACAAUUCAUAGUGCGGAUACUAUCUUAACAUAUAUCCUUUAAUGAUCUAUAUAUAAUUUUUUUAUUCUGCAGUCCUCAAAUGCAAGGGAAGAGGGUAUUCUGGCAAGUUAAAAAGUGUGAUUGUGUCUGAAUUUAUCACACAGCAGCUCCUCCAGCCCCAUUUCCUUAUACCUGUCCCCAAGAGAAAUAUGUGCAAAUAGGACAGAUGAAAGCAAAUUGCAGUCUCCACUUUGGGCAUAAGCAACCAAAUUCCAUUGCCUAGAAAGUUUCCAAAUUUUGGGUGAAGGAAGUGCGAGGAACCAAUCUGAGACUCUGUAGGAUCCUAAAAGCUGAGCACUCCCUGCCAGCUAGGAUCACGUAGCAGUGACCUGAUGGGCUUGUGAAGGAGCUGCCCCAUGGGUCACCCCAGAAGCACUGAGCAGCGCCACACACAACUGUACCCUUGUCCUCUAUGACUUGCCAGCCUAUGCUGUGCCCACCCAUAUCUCCCCAUGGUUGUGGUGGGCUGCUUACGGGGGACUGUUCAAAGCUCCCUGACACUGGCUCUCUGAGUGCCCUGCAUCUAUGUGUUCCUUGGGGAUGAGCAGGGGCCCAUACCUUAGGGGAAAGGGGAAGAAAAGAGACUUGGGGAACCACUUUGCUAUAACUAAAAACCCCUCUUUGUUUCUAAAUUUGAAGGGGAAAACACCUUAGUAUGUCUUCAUCUUUGAGGUGGACAAAUUGAACUGUUGAGUGGUCUUGAGCUGUCUCUUGCUACGUGCCUCUCCUUGCUGGCUGUUUUGCCUCUUACCUCAAGAUCAGGAACCAAGAUAAUGGAGUGGAUUGCACGGAGAAGCCUCUAGGGAGGAACCAGCCUAGCACCUGGACUAAAUCCACACAGGGGAGAAGAGCCAAGGCUUUGAAGAAACUGGGGAAGUCAGAGGGUUUCUGACCUAGUUGAAGGAGGGAGAGGGAAGGGAAUUCAUUACCCAGAUGGAAAAAAAAAAAA
rnacentral:lncRNA from 1 species